GCGGCCUAUCAGCUUGUUGGUGAGGUAAUGGCUCACCAAGGCUACGACGGGUAUCCGGCCUGAGAGGGCGACCGGACACACUGGGACUGAGACACGGCCCAGACUCCUACGGGAGGCAGCAGUGGGGAAUAUUGGGCAAUGGACGCAAGUCUGACCCAGCGACGCCGCGUGAGGGAUGAAGGCCUUCGGGUUGUAAACCUCUUUCAGUAGGGAAGAAGCGAAAGUGACGGUACCUACAAAAGAAGCACCGGCUAACUAUGUGCCAGCAGCCGCGGUAAUACAUAGGGUGCAAGCGUUGUCCGGAUUUAUUGGGCGUAAAGAACUCGUAGGUGGCUUGUUACGUCGGAUGUGAAACUCUGGGGCUCAACCCCAGACCUGCAUCCGAUACGGGCAGACUAGAGUGUGGUAGGGGAGACUGGAAUUCCU
rnacentral:rRNA from 1 species